GACGUAGGGCGCGAGCGUUGUCCGGAUUUAUUGGGCGUAAAGAGCUCGUAGGCGGUUCAGCAAGUCGGGUGUGAAAACUCUGGGCUCAACCCAGAGACGCCACCCGAUACUGCUGUGACUAGAGUCCGGUAGGGGAGUGGGGAAUUCCUGGUGUAGCGGUGAAAUGCACAGAAUAUCAGGAGGAACACCGGUGGCGAAGGCGCCACUCUGGGCCGGCACUGACCGCUGAGGAGCGAAAGCGUGGGUAGCAAACAGGA
rnacentral:rRNA from 1 species